rnacentral:rRNA from 1 species
UACGUAGGGUCCGAGCGUUGUCCGGAAUCACUGGGCGUAAAGGGCGCGUAGGCGGCCUGAUAAGUAGGGGGUGAAAUCCUGCGGCUUAACCGCAGGGCUGCCUUCUAAACUGUCAGGCUAGAGCACGGUAGAGGCAGAUGGAAUUCCCGGUGUAGCGGUGGAAUGCGUAGAGAUCGGGAAGAACAUCAGUGGCGAAGGCGGUCUGCUGGGCCGUUGCUGACGCUGAGGCGCGACAGCGUGGGGAGCAAACAGG